rnacentral:rRNA from 1 species
CCGCAUACGUCCUACGGGAGAAAGCAGGGGAUCUUCGGACCUUGCGCUAAUAGAUGAGCCUAAGUCGGAUUAGCUAGUUGGUGGGGUAAAGGCCUACCAAGGCGACGAUCUGUAGCGGGUCUGAGAGGAUGAUCCGCCACACUGGGACUGAGACACGGCCCAGACUCCUACGGGAGGCAGCAGUGGGGAAUAUUGGACAAUGGGCGGAAGCCUGAUCCAGCCAUGCCGCGUGUGUGAAGAAGGCCUUAUGGUUGUAAAGCACUUUAAGCGAGGAGGAGGCUACUCUAGUUAAUACCUAGGGAUAGUGGACGUUACUCGCAGAAUAAGCACCGGCUAACUCUGUGC